ensembl:rRNA 5S_rRNA 5S ribosomal RNA
GCUUACGGCCAUACCAGCCCAAGAACGCCCGGUCUCGUCUGAUCUCGGAAGCUAAGAAGGCUUGGGCCUGGUUAGUACUUGGAUGGUAAACCUCCUGGGAAUACCAGGUGCUGUAAGCU